GCCGACUUAGCUCAGCUGGUAGAGCGUCUGAUUCGUAAUUAGAAGGUCAUCGGUUCAAAUCCGAUAGUCGGCUCCA
rnacentral:tRNA from 2 species